GCCUUCGUGGUGUAAUGGUCAACACACUCGGCGCGUAUUCCAGAGGUCCAGGUUCGAGUCCCGGGGAGGGCA
rnacentral:tRNA from 1 species